AGAUCAUCACUGGGUAUAAAGGGUGCGCAGGCGGUUUUGUAAGACAGAGGUGAAAUCCCCGGGCUCAACCUGGGAACUGCCUUUGUGACUGCAAGGCUGGAGUGCGGCAGAGGGGGAUGGAAUUCCGCGUGUAGCAGUGAAAUGCGUAGAUAUGCGGAGGAACACCGAUGGCGAAGGCAAUCCCCUGGGCCUGCACUGACGCUCAUGCACGAAAGCGUGGGGAGCAAACA
rnacentral:rRNA from 1 species